AGAGAGAGACAUGCGCGCAUAUCAAUAAGCGGAGGAAAAGAAACUAACUAGGAUUCCCUUAGUAACGGCGAGUGAAGCGGGAAGAGCUCAAAUUUGAAAUCUUCAAGGUUCUACCUUGACGAAUUGUAGUUUAAAGAAGUGUUUUCUGUUAGUGGAAUUUGGCUAAAAGUUCUUUGGAAAUAGGACAUCAAUAGAGGGUGAGAAUCCCGUAUUUGAUCAUUCCUUCUAGCUUUGUGAUACACUUUCAAAGAGUCGGAUUGUUUGGGAAUGCAGUCCAAAAUGGGUGGUAAAUUUCAUCUAAAGCUAAAUAUUGGCGAGAGACCGAUAGCGAACAAGUACCGUGAGGGAAAGAUGAAAAGAACUUUGAAAAGAGAGUUAAACAGUACGUGAAAUUGUCAAAAGGGAAGCGUUUGACACCAGUGUUGUUUUUCUCGAAAAUCAGUUAAGAAUGGGGUUAUGUUUGAGUAGUUAUGACUUCAUCAGCUUUCUGCACUUUCUUUAUGUACUUUCUUAAUGCACUUUUCGUUAACAAGUCAACAUCAAUUUCUUUUGUUGUAAAAGAGUCAUGAGGAAGGUGGCUUUCUUUUCGGAGAAAGUGUUUAUAGCCUUGGACUUCUGCAAUCGGAGAGAUUGAGGUCUGCAGCGUAGAUCCUUCGGGGUUAGAUACACUUGUGCUAAGUUAUAGCCUUUCAUAGACAACUUGUUGAUUAUGAUUAGUCAUUGUAGCUUACUCGCUUAUGCUAUUUUACCUACGCUUAGGAUGUUGACAGCAGUAUAGACUGU
rnacentral:rRNA from 1 species